UUUUUUUUUUUUUUUUGUGUAAACAAAGAACUCCUGUCUUAGGCGUGGUCACGUCUAACUGCUAUAGAGUCCUCAGAACCUGCACGAAAAUUUCUUCCCCUCGGGCGUGACCACCUGGCGUGGGCACGUCUAACUGCCAUGGAGUCCGCAGAUCCUGAACGAAAAUUUCUUUCCCUCAGGCGUGACCACCUGGCGUGGGCACGUCUAACUGCCAUGGAGUCCGCAGAUCAUGAACGAAAAUUUCUUUCCCUCAGGCGUGACCACCUGCCGUGGGCACGUCUAACUGCCAAUUUCCUAUCACCAACCAUCAACCUAUUAAUUGACAUUAACACUUAACUAAAACUUCAAAAAUGUAUAAAAACUGAAACAAAUAGUCUUGGGUUGCCUCCCAAGUAGCGCCUUUCUUUAAUGUCUUUGGCUAGACAUUGAACACCACUCUUCAAUCUGGGUGUAACUCAAUUUUCCUGGAAAUCGGUGGCCCUCCCCCAGGAUCCAAAUAGCCUUUGAGUGCAGCCUUCUUUCUUAAUUUUCUACUCCUUUUCACCUCAUACAGUGCUUUCAUCCCCUUAUACUUGUUCUCAGUAAGUUUGAAUUUAUCCCUACAAGCAAACUCAGAAAAUUCUUGCACAGAGGGAUUAAUAGCAUGAAUAGCAAACACAGGGUGAGAGUUAACAGGAUGUUUCAUUGUAUCGAAAAUAUUAAAGUGGACUAGUUCUCCAUCAAAUUCCAUGGACAAUGUACCCUUAUUAACGUCAAUUUUUGUCUGUGCUGUGCUCAAAAAGGGUCUACCUAGUAGCAAAGGUGAGGGGUCAGGGGAAUGAUCAUCAUCCAUGUCAAGUACAUAAAAGUCAGCCGGGAAUAUCAAUUUAUUAACUUUAACCAGCACAUCCUCGACCAACCCAUCAGGGUAUGCAUUUGUUCGGUCAGCUAAUUGAAUUAUUAUCUCGGUUUCUUUUAAUGGACCGAGAUUCAGAGAAGCAUACAUAGAUUUUGGCAUUACGUUGAUCGAUGCUCCUAAAUCCAGCAAGGUAUUUCUAAUCAGAGUAUUACCUAUCUUGCAUGGGACAGUAAACCUACCUGGAUCCCCACACUUUGGUGGUAGCUUUCUUUGGAGAACUGCUGACACAUUCUCCCCAACAAUAACUCUUUCAUCUCCCCUCAGCCUCCUUCGAUUGACACAUAGGUCCCUCAGAAAUUUUGCAUACUUCGGCACUUGCUUGAUGGCGUCUAGUAGGGGGAUAUUGAUUUCUACCUUGCGAAACACCUCCAGGAUCUCUUUCUCCUUGUCCUGCUUCUUCGAUUUUUUCAACCUGCAAGGAAAUGGAGGGGGAUUAGUUUUAACUGUAAUUACUGGGUCUGGAAGUACCUUUAGAUCUGCACCAUUGCUGUCCUCCCUCUCAAGUUCAUUUUCGAUCUUUUCCUCAUCCUUAUCCUUAGGGAUCAUAGGUUCAGGCCCCUGAAUUUCCUUCACGCUCCUUAAAGUCAUUGCGCUUACGUUCUUCAGGUUCAGUUCAGGUUGGGAUGGCAAUCUUCCAUUUACUUGGGACUCCAAACGGUUGAUUGUUGUGGCCAUUUUACUUAUCUGACUCCUUAUAUCCUGCAUUUCGGAGUCCGUCCUUUGCUGAUUUUGCAUAAUGGUUGCCUCCGUCCUUUGCUGAUUUUACGCCAUGGUUGUCAUCAUUUGUUUCAUCAUCUCCUCCAAAGAUGGACCAGAGCUUGGGGGCGGAGGUGGUCGGGGUUGGUAUUGUUGCUGGUACCCUGGUGGCUUAUUUGGCACAAAGUUAGACUGCCUGUUCGGUGUAAAGUUGGGUUGCCUAUUCCCUCCAUAACUGAGGUUGGGAUGAUCUCUCCACCCGGGGUUGUAGGUGCUUGAGUAAGGGUCGUACUGCUUCCUUGGCGCGGGCGCGUGAUCAGCCAUGUUCACAUGUUCUGCAGUUUCUUCCUGAAUCAUUGGGCACAUAUCUGCAGAGUGACCUAUACCAGUGCAAAUCCCGCAUACCCUGGCUUGUGAUGCAUUUCUCACAGCCUGUUGCCUAACAAACGCGGUCAACUCAGUUAGCUGCUGCUGCAUGGAGGGUGUCUCUACCUCAUUCACCCUGCGUAUUGGAACAUCCUCUCUCGUACCGAAUUGUUGUGAAUUCUCUGCCAUCCCCUCUAUUAACUCCCGUGCUUCCUGAGGGGUUUUGUUCACCAGUGCCCCUCCACUUGCAGCAUCAAUUAUGCUCAUGUCUCUAAAAAGGAGCCCCUCAUAAAAAUACUAUAUGAGCAACUGCUCACUUAUUUGGUGUUGGGGGCACAUUCUGCACAACUUCUUGAACCGUUCCCAAUACUCAUAGAGUGACUCCCCUGGGUGCUGCUUGAUCCCGCAAAUUUCUUUCCUUAGACUCGCAGCCCUGGAUACAGGAAAAUAUUUAUCUAAAAAUUUUUUCUUUAAUUGGUCCCACGUGGUGAUGCUACCUGGUGACAGGUAGUACAGCCAAUCCUUCGCAGAAUCUUUCAAGGAGAAGGGAAAUGCCCUCAUUUUUAUCUGCUCUUCUGUAAUGUCCGGGGGCUUCAUACUGUUGCACACGACAUCAAACUCCUGCAGAUGCUUAUACGGCUCCUCACCUGGUAAACCAUGAAAAGAGGGUAAAAGAGAAAUCAGGCCAGAUUUUAACUCAAAUGAAGUGUUUUCACUCAAACUCGGGAAAGUAAUGCACAAAGGCUGCUGAUUUAAAUUAGGGGCAGCCAACUCCCUUAAUGCUUGUGCAUUAGCCAUGGGGAUUUCUUCUUGCUCCGAGUCACUCGAAGUGUUACCAAAUGAAUCUGUUGGUUCAACUCCUGACUCAGGUCUCUGAGAUGUAGCACUGGAGUGCUUCUCUCUGAGCUGUCUGGUUUCCUUUCUCGUUCUACGCGCGGUCUUCUCUACUUCAGAGUCAAAAAUCAAAUCACCUGUACGAGAAGACCGAGGCAUACACUAGAAAAAUACCAGAAAAUUAGAACAAAAAUGAAUUUAAAAAGAAACAAAUUAUAACGCCAGUCCCCGGCAACGGCGCCAAAAAUUGACAGGUGCCGAACCUGUGCAAUAAUAAUAAUAAAUAUAGAACCUAUCUACCACUAAAAGCAGUCAAUAAUUAAUCCUAAGUACUGGAGCAGGGACUCUAGGUGUGCAAUGGGUUACUUGAUUCACCCUGUUCCCGAAGAGUUUGCUUAACCCGAUAUACCAGAAUUAAUUAGUUGGCAGAAAUUACUGAAUAGUAGACAGUGGCAAGUAGGGUCGUCUCCUCAGGGACUGGAGAUAUCUGUCUCUUUUAAAAUCCAAUUGAUUAGGGGGGAUUUCACCGGAAUGAAACUAAAAACAAUUAAACAAUUUUGACUAAAAUGAAUAAAUAACUAGCACAAGUAUAGCAGGAAUUUAAUCAGGAAUAAAUAAAUUCUAGUCAAGGAUACAACUACUCAGGCGCAGUUCAAUCAUCCGAUCAUUGAUGCAAGAGAUGUUCACUUAAUGUAUUAAUAGGCUAGUUAUAGUCUGACGACCAAUUUUUCCUUAAAUUAUUGAUAACCAAGGUACGACCGUUGAUUACCCCUAAUCAGCAAAUACUCCUAGGUACGACCAUAGGAAGUAAUUUUCCAAUUGCAUUAAUAACUAGAAAAACCUAGCCCUAAUCAAUAACACGCUACGAGGGUUAUUUAAAUUAGAUCGCAUGUUCCCCUAAUGUGUAAACACACCAGUUGCCACUAAUAUUAAUCAAUCAAACAAUUACGGAUUUAAUUGACUAAAUUAGCACGAGAUUAAUAAAUCACAUUGAACAUCGGGCCCUUGACAUCCAAUUAAUAAAAUAAUCCCAUGAAAAUUCAAGCACACAACGUGCAAAUAUUAAUAAAUAAAGGAACACGUGAAAACUAAUUAGAUCUCACAGAUUUUCGGGACUGCGCCGUCGAGUUGACCCUUGACUAGAUGGAAGGCUUAGCCACGCCGCAUAAUUAAAUCACCACACGAAUUAAUAAAUUGCAAAGGCAUUGCGUUUUCUAUUAGGAAGUAAGGAAUAAAAGGUGUUUUUCCCGUUGGGGAAUAUUGUCGAACACCUGGCGUGUGUCAGAGGCCAGUCAGGAGAAGAAAAGAAAAACUAAAGACUAGGCUAAAAACUAAACUAAAAGAUAAACUAAAACUAGAGAUGUCUUCCUUCCUACGUUAUCCCUAUUUAAGAGACAAAAGAAAGAUAGACUAAAGCUAUCUAGGUGGUCCCCACACAUGUGGACAAAGCCUCCAAAGUACUUCUUCUCCCAAGUCUCUUUUCCAUAGCUUUCUUUGAAAAGCCCAAAUGACUUAUAGCUUUGUGGUCCCCACCAAUCCAAGGGCCCAAGGAUUGAAGCCCUUAGAAGUCUCCAUAUUCUCCAUAAAGUCCCUCCUUUUUGGUAGUUUUCUGCUUCAUUCCUGAAAUUAAGUCCAGAUACCAAAUAUGAGUAAAUAUCAGCAAUUAACACAAUAUUUAUCAGGGAUAAAAGGGGAAAUAAAUAAUAAAAUUACUAACAAAUUAUACCCUAUCAGAACUCAAAGAUACUUAGUUUAUAUAUAUAUAAUUUGAGUAAAUUUUAUAUACACUGAUAAUAUAUACACUAUCAUCGUUGGAUUCAUGACAUGUGUGCAAAAGUUGAAUUUCAAAUUCAAAUUUUGCACAAUUGUCAUUCAUUCAAUGCUAUAGUAUAUACAUUGUUAGUAUAGAAAAGAUUAAUCCAUAUAAUUUUUAUUUAAUAGUGAAAUUAUAUAUAUAACCUAAAUUUUAUUAUUUGUUAAGAAAAAUUACUAUUUUAUUCUUUUUUAAAAAUAAAAUAAUUAUUUUUUAUUUUUUAAACUCGAGUUCGAACUCAAAUUUUACAUUGAAAGCUCAUCGAACUCAAACGAGAGCUCAAGUUUUAAAUUUGGUAAAAUUGAAUUGAAACUCGACUCAAUUAAGUCAAAAUUUGAUUUGACUCAACUUGGUUGCAUUCUUAUUUGAAAGGUGCACGAGUUUUUAGGAGGUAUCAUUUUGGUAUUAGAAUUUCCUGAAAAUGCAAUCUUUAAAUUUACUUCAAAUACUUUCCACUUUAACCCUUUUUUUUUUUUUACUAUUAUAAGUGUAAAUGAGUCUAAUCAAAUCGAACAUCCUAAUAUUCAAGUUUAAUUAUUUUAAUGAGUUUGAAAUUUUCAAAUUUAAUUUAUUUAUUUGUUGAAUCAAACUUAAACGAAUCUUUUAUUGAAUUUGAAAUUUAUCGAGCUCUUCAAUGACUUGUUGGCGAACCAAAUUAGAAUGAACUCUCGUCAAAUCAAAUUGAGUAUGAUUCUUGUAUUGAGUUUUUGAUUAUUUUUCAACCCUAUUUACUAUCCUUUGUCAUCUUGGGGAGCAAAAAAACUAUAAAUUUAUUCCUUUCUUGGUGAUCCAAUAACCCGUUUUAUCCUCCUCUGGCUUUUCUUUUCCUUUCUUUUCUGACUCCAAUCCAAGGGCCCAAAUUCACUCGCAUCCGAUCAACGGUCAAAUUUCAUCCUCCACCUUUCCCAGAAGUGGUAUCAUCUCCCAAAGCAUCUUCUCAGUCGAUAUUCCUCUCAGAUUCCCCCCAGUCCCGGGUGCCCGUGUUUCGCUUUUCCCAACAAUCCAUCCCGGCCCCCUCUUUCCCUCUCCUUCUUUCGCUUUCUCGCACCUUGAUCGGAGACGGAAACUAUGGAGAGUAAACCCCAGAAGCCAAUUCCCAUGAAUGACCCCCCGACGGACCGCCCUGUUCGUGUUUACGCAGAUGGAAUUUAUGAUCUCUUCCACUUCGGCCACGCUCGCUCCCUUGAACAAGCUAAAAAAUCGUAAUGAUUUCUUAUUUUUCUAAUCUAUUUGCUUUUAAAUUUGAGAAUUUUUUUUUGGAGCGGGUGACUUAGUUCUUCUUUAUUUUUUAAUUUUUUUGGGUGAUCUUUGGGCAGUAUGGGAUGUGGUUUGGGUUAUUUUGGUAGCUUGUCAUCUCAAGCGUUUUGAUAAAAUGUGUCUAUGAGAUUUGGUUGAUUUAAAGUUAGAAUUGAUAGUGCAAUGUUGGCCUGCUUUCUUAUGUAGGGGAAUAUUGGUAGUGGGGAUUGUAUUUUCUUCCUAUGAGGUUGAUCCGUGUAAUACGAUGCCCAUAUGAUUCUAGAAUUGUGGAAAAGGAUGAUAAAGAAACCAUCUUGAAGGAGGCAGCGUUGGAGCUGAUUUCAUACCAUGUACAUGUGCCGUUGUUUGCCUUGAAAAAGCGUGGAUUAGUAAGAUAUUGACCACAAUUAGAGCGUUAAGGAACUUAAAAUUAGAGUUGUUAGGAUCAGCCGUGGUAUUGGGACAGACUGCUUUUUGUUCAUGUAAAGCUUAUGAAAACCAGGGUAGCAUUCUAGUUAUUCUAUCUAUCAUUUUCUUCCUGAAUGUUGUAUAUAUUCUCGAAUAUUUGACUGCAAUAUUUCCUUGGCAGUGUUAUAAUUAUGUUGAAUUGUGGAUAUCAUGAUUAAUUGCCUUUUUUGUCACUCCUUUUGGUAAUUGUGAUUAUGAUUGAUUAUUUUCUAUCCAGGUUUCCCAACACCUAUCUACUUGUAGGAUGUUGCAAUGAUGAAGUCACCCACAAAUAUAAGGGUAAAACAGUUAUGACUGAUGCGGAGCGAUAUGAAUCUCUCCGGCAUUGCAGGUUGAUGUGAAGUAAUUUCUGUUAUUUAAGCUCUCUAUAUGAAUGGUGGUUUGAUUCAUUAUGUAAAUCCUAAUAGACGAGGAAGUGGUUUGAUUCAUUAAUUAAAUACUAAUAGAUGAGCAAAGGGGAUGUUGAACGAGGAGCCAGUGCAUUUUCUUUUGAGGCUAGUUUUACAUCUCCUUUUAUCUAGGCAUUUAUUUAUGCAUUAGGUACUUUUCUCUUGUGUAGCUAUUUUCUUCAGAUGACUUAUGGACUUUUGAAGCAGUGAAUAUUACCACCUCAAGGAUAAAUACUUCAAUUAAACUUUAGUAUAGUCUUCCUUCCUUCCUUUUAUUUUUUAAACAUUUUUUAAUUCUUUUACUUUUUAUACAUUGGAAGGUAAAGGGUAUGCAAAAAGACAAGAACUUGAGUGCUGUUAUUUGUUUCUUUCAUUAGAACUUCAUUUGCAAUUGCCUCUUGCUUGUUUUGUUUGCUGCAUCCUCUUUAUGCUCGAGGAUACGGUUGCAACUAUGAAAAAUUUUGUUCUGCUUUGUUGUCCAGACAAACUUCUAGGUCUUUCGACUUCCUCAGAACAGACAGCCAAAGAAGUCAAAUGAGUGAGAAAGAGAUAGAGUACCUUGAUAUGCACCAGUUCUUAUAGGAGAGAGUAGACCUCUGAUUAAGUUCAAGCAGUCAUUUUUUAUUUAUGAUGGGGUAGCAGAACGAUAUUCUUUCCUUUGACCAUCCAGCAUUGUUGGGAUAACACUUUUAUUCUGCAUUGUGAACAGAAGCUUCCCUUACUAAGAAAGAAGGAAGCAUCUGUUCCCACGUUAGUUUCACCAUUGUCCCCUUCAAAUUCUAUUUUUGAAGUAUCAGAUUUAUUUGCUGGAAGUCACAGCUUCAAAGGGGUUGACCACUGAGAUUUUUUCAAAUAGGGCUUUAGUUGGGAACCUUAUCAAAUGUGUGUCUUGGAGCUUUUGCCUUGUAGCUAAAGUUAUAGAGAUAGAGAAUUCUUGGUGCUUUAGUAAGCUAGAUUGAUAGUUAAAAUCAAAAUUUCUGUUAUAUCCUGUUGUCCUGUACUGUUGCAUUUUCAGUGCAAGCUUGUGUUUAUUUGUCUAUUCUUUCUAACUUCUUGUUCCUUAUAGGUGGGUUGAUGAAGUUAUUCCAGAUGCCCCUUGGGUGACUACACAGGAAUUCCUUGAUAAACAUCAGAUCGACUUUGUGGCACAUGACUCUCUUCCGUAAGGUUUACAAACCCAAGAACUGUUUAUUAUGCUUGCCUCUAUUGGCCUUUUGGCGUAGAUGAAGUCUUCUUCAAACCUUCAAAGUGUAGGUUGUAUAAAAUCUGUUAAACAUGGUUACAGGAUAACCAUGAUAUAUAAAGACCCAGCAUGGUUUCUGUGAAACUAAAAAGGAUGUACAUUUGUGAAAUAAUGUGGCUAGACUAUAAGGCACAUAGUUCAUGUCCUCUGCUGCUACCUCUUGAACCAAGUAUGAAAAAAAAAAAGAAAGGAAAAAGAUAAGAACUUAGAAAAUCUCUGCAGUACCAUACUUUUUUGCUUGGUUUCUUUUUCUUGUAUACUUGUAUGUUGAUAUUCUCUCUUAAUGUCAGUUAUGCUGAUGCAAGUGGGGCUGCCAAUGAUGUCUAUGAAUUUGUAAGUGCAAAUUGUCAUUACCAUGCAGGCUAGUGCUUUUAAUUAUUGUGGCUGCUAUUAUUGCUUCUAUCUUUAUUACUUUGUUCUCUUGUUUGAUUAAUACCUAUUUGGCUGCUAUAUGUUUGGUUUCUGUUACUUUUCUAGACAAUUUGUUUGCCUGCUCGUUGUUUCUCUUCUAACUUAUCCUCUAAUUGGCUUUUUCCUUUCAAGCUGCUUAACUGCUAUGUCAGUCUUAAAUCCUCUCGUGCUGCCUAGAUGACUGUUUUGAUAUGAAAAUCAUAUGUCAAAAUCUUAUUUUAGGUUAAGGCUGCUGGAAAGUUUAAAGAGACAAAGCGAACAGAAGGAAUCUCAACAUCAGAUCUUAUAAUGAGGAUAGUGAAAGAUUAUAACGAAUAUGUGAUGCGGAACUUGGACCGGGGUUACUCAAGAAAGGAACUGGGUGUGAGCUAUGUCAAGGUAGAGUUACACGUCUUGGCUGAUUAGUUGAACGUCUACAAUGUCCAUUACCAUCUCUCUCGUUGGGAUGCGUAUUGAGUGCUUUCUCAUUUUAAUUGAAGGAAAAAAGAUUGAGGGUGAAUAGGGGGUUAAGAAAGUUGCAGGAGAAAGUGAAGAAGCAACAAGAGAAAGUGGAAGAGAAGGUAUGCAAGUCUUGUUGCCAUAUUGAUGUUAUCUUUAACAUAUAGUGUAAUGUAGUGAAGAUGAAUCAUGAUAUGUUGUAUCUGGCCAUAAUAACCAUUCUAUUUCAUCAGAAUAAGAAAAUAGUAGCCUAACAUAUUCAUUGGUUGCAAAUUUGCAAUUUUAUGUUUUAAUGAUCUAUAUGAAUUUGGAAGUGCAAUUUCAGUCGGUUAUAUUUUUGUUCACUUUGGAGCUCAAAUAAAUUAGGCGCUGCAAAUUUGGACUUGUGACAUUUAACUUCUACAGUGUGGAACCAUGAGAAGGGAGAUUGGAAUUUUGCUAUGUGAUAGUGGCCCUCCGAAUUAUGAACUAAUGUUCUAGAAUUUGUUUAAAAAAACUUUCUACACUAGUGAAUCAUCAGAAGAGGGAAAAGAAGAUGACGAAAAUGAAUUUGUGCCAGGCCAUUGACUUUCAAAGAAAGUAUGAAGAUGUCUGCAUAACAGAAAAGUACUGUUGUGGAUUUUGCUGAUAAAAAUUAAGCUGGCAUAUGAUAGUUUUAAUGGAACAGCAGAUCAUAUAAUGGUAGAACUGCCUCUAAUGUCUUUGGAGUGUUAACAGGAACCUUUUGGUGAGCUCUAGGCAAAGAGAGCAAGCCCUCUGGUAAUAUUGACAGUUUGGCAGCAUUAUAAUGCCAAGAAAAUACACUGUAAUUGGUGAAUCUAAGUCUACAUCAGUAAGAUCUUCAUUGAGGAGUUAUAUGCUUGGAUUUCUCACAUGGCGUGUGAUUCCCUUGCAUAAUUUUUUUCCUCUCAAUAAAUUAAGUAAUAUUGAACAUUGCCCAUGCUUGAUACAAUUGACAAGCUUGAGUUAUAUCACGGACUUAAAUUUAUUGGUAGUCAAUAUCUGUUUUGAAACACUACAGUUUUUCAAAUUAAUCUGUCAUUUUUUAGUUCAAACCAUGAUUACUAGGAAUUUUUGUGAUCAACUGUCAAUUCUUUGUUGUGUUGCGCAGCAUUACUGAGCUUUGUAAGUUUUGUGUUUCUGAGGAGGCUCCAUCUCCAUGUGGAAUGCUUUCAGCUUUUUCCUGUACAACGAGUGUUCCCCCCCCCCCCCCCCAAAACACCAAACUCUUUUUCCAGCUAUAUUUGAAUUACUGUAAUUCUUUUCUCUGUGAAUCUUCAGAUGCAAACAGUGGCAAAACAUCGUAACAUAUGGGUGGACAAUGCUGAUCGAUUGGUUGCUGGGUUUCUUGAGAUGUUUGAAGAAGGUUGCCAUAGAAUGGUAAUUAUGUCAUUGUCAUUUUUUGUAUCAUGAAGAUCUAAGAAAAAAUUUGUUGAUAGAGUACAAUUUUUAAGCUUGUGCCCUCUGUAUAGGAAGUGUGUGGUAGGAAAGGGUAGACAGGACUUAAUAACAUGCUACACUUUUGAUUACUGAAAUAAGUGUCAGAUUUGCUUCUGGGAUUAGACUUUAUUUGGACAUUUCUCCAGGGAACUGCCAUCAGAGACCGGAUUCAAGAACAAAUAAGGACAAAGAAUAUACGGGGACUGAUAUACGAUAAAGAAGAUGAAGAUGACUACGAGGAGGAUGAUGGGUAUUAUUACGAUGGCAGUACGGAUGAUGAAUACUAUGAUGAUGAGGGUGAGGAAUGACCUCCUCAUCAUCCGAUGUUUAGUUCGAAAAGGUGGCUGUCAUAUUCAGCUGCAACACAUGGAGUGUGGUCUGGAUCAAGACUUAUAAGUGUUUUUCUGCUUGCCUGUUUCAAAAAAUGUCUACCCCACAUGCAUCAGUUUUGAUGUGUCCUUGUGCAUCAGAAAGUGCUGUUUGUAUUUUUUGGGCUUCAUUUAGGUAUGUUUUGGAAAGUGUUCUUUGUAAUUUGUAGAAAAUAGCGCUGAUUAUUAUUCUUAACAGAACUCUUAGAAACUUAAAAAGUGUAAAACAGUUUUGGAAAUUAUAGAUAUUUAACGUGGAUGUUUGCUUGUUUCUACAAAUGCUUUAUUUAGUUGCCAGCCCCCCGUCCUCCCCCGGUUUUUGUACUUCUUGGUAUGCAUGGAUUGGAAUUUUUAUUGCGACAGAGUAACCGAAGGAUUGAACUAUUGCAUGUUCUUCAUAUUAACCUAUUGGAGAUUGAUUGGUAUGUCCAAUUCGAUGAAUUCUAUCAGCUGCAAAUAAUUUUCUCCUGUUGCUCUUUUGCUUCGGAUUUAGCUAGGAUUGGUUGAUGGUUAAUUUUUGGGGUAAAAAAAAAACAUGACAUGAUCCUUAAUAGGAAGUUGUAAGGCUAUAAAAAUUGUAAACUACCCGUUUAAACUAUUACCUCAGUUAAAAGGUGGCUGUAUUCUUGGUUAAUUGAUGUAUUACUAAAACCGUUUAUAGGCUGAGCACUCAAUAGAUGGAAAUGGUAUUUCAUCUAAACAUGAAACUUUUAGUUGCACAAUCUGGCCGCCAACAUUUCACGAUAGAGAAUUAAUCUGCAGUUCUGCAAGAAACACUGAAAUUAAUAUCUGAAACCAGAAUUUCAAUUUGCUAAAUGCGGUUAAGAGUUUCGCUACAUAUAUUCUCGAGCAUGAAAACCAGCUUAAAGCAAAAUGAAAUCAAUUUUUCUAAAGAUCUCAAACAAAAAUCUAGCAGAUUACUUUAAAGCCAACCAAAAUCUGCAUGAUCAGAAUUUCGGUUUUCUUUAAGAGGUAAGAAUUACAGUAGAUAUAAUCUAGAGGACCAACAAAACCAACUUAAGCAAAUUGAAUUCACGUUUCCAAAGAUAUCAAGCACUAAUUGAUAGUUGAGUAUCCAGAUUGAGCAAAACAUUCCAUUGCAUGGAGGUUGAAUUAAGAAACACAUCAUCUCACAAAUGAAUCGAGAGAAGAAUAAGUUACUGAAAUUUGUUUAUCUUACAAGUUCGGGGAGUAAUACAACAGAAUCCACAAUCAUACUCUUAUCAUCUCAAAUAUGAACUACUAAUAAGCACUUUGAUGUCCCCAGUUGCUUCCCUGAUUCUUUUUGCAGACUCUUCCGCAGAUUGUCUGCACCAGUGCACUUCAAUCAAUUCCAGUGUGCCUAUGUCUGCAAAAUCAUACGGGAUUUCCUUGAGGUCUUUGCAAUUUUGCAAGACAAGCCGUUCAAGUUUGGGAAGGUGAUCACAAGUAGCAUUCCAUUGAGAAACGUUCAGAUUGUCUAACUUCAAGAAUUUGAGUUCCUUGAACUGAUCUUCCUCCAUGUCCCAUGUCAGCCCCUCAAAGGCAUCAAGAAGUAAUUUGAGAACUUCCAGGUUGGGUAGUCUCCCAAUUGUUGAGAUAUGACUCCAUGGUAGACGAAACUUUGAAAGAGUCAAUUUCCUCAGAUUGGAAGGGAGAAUGAAUUCCCUGGUAAUAGCGCUUCCAUAGUAAGAUACAUUGAGUGACACCAAAUGAGUUAGAAAAUCUAAUCCUGGAAACUGAUAGGAAUUCUUCGAAGAACCCUGUGGAUGAAAGAAUAUGCAUCUCAGUUUCUGGAGAUUUGGCAACCUCUUUAUUAUUGAUUCUGUAUCUUCACCACAAGAGAGAGAGAGACAGGAAAGGCUGACCAAAUCACCCAACUUACAGCAGACUUCAAGCCCUUCAUCAUCCAAUGUGAAAGCAACAUGCAUAUUCACAUGAAGAUGCCUCAACCUUGUCAUGUGCCAAAUAGUAUCUGGUAAGACAACCUGACCACGUAAUCCCUUCAAAACAAAAGUUUCUAGUUUUCGGAGAUUGCCUAUGGAUUGUGGAAUAGUUUGCAUAUAACCAGUGAUUGCCAAAUACCUCAAAUGAACCAGGCAUGUAAUGUCAGCAGGGAAGGUGACACCCAGGUUGAUGCAUUCAAAAUCUAACACCCGCAGAAGUUUGAAGUUGUGCCAAAUGAAUGAGAUGUCAUAAGGACAUCUGGGCUCUGAAUCAGCUGAAGGAAAGAAUAUCAAAGAACGAGUACCCAGGCCAAAAGGUCUUGAUUUAAAAAAAUGGAGUCGCUUCAAAAAAAAGCACAAUCGGUAGGCUUCAUAUGUGACAGGAUCAGAAUGAUGGCCAAUUUCAAAACCAAAAUCUGAACUAGGAAAAGAUACAUAUGGCUCAUCAAACCUGGUUACUAGCCGGAAGAAGUUCUCUGCUCUGGCUUUUAACUGACAAAAAUCACGCAACAGAUCAUGCAAGCGACAUGAUUUGACCAUUCCGUUGGAUCUUCUUUUGGAGACUUCCACCAGGCUUCUGCUAAUCAACUCCAUCAAGUAACCCUCGGCAAUACCUUCUAAGCUCUUCAACUCAGAGUCAUGAAUGAAACCUUCAGCAAGCCAAAACCGUAUCAACUUGCUAACAGGAAUAUCCUUGUCUUCAAGGAAAACUCCCAAAUAAAGAAAGCACGGUUUUAGAUAUCCCGGCAAGUGUUUGUAACUCAAUUCAAAGAUUUCCAUGCACCGAGCUUUUGGAUCUUCUAUAACUUCAGCAAUCAAGCCUUUUGCAAUUUUCCCCCAUGAUGCUCUGCUCUUUUCUAUCUUUUGGAGGAGACCAGAUAUUGCAACAACAGCAAGAGGCAAUCCUUUACACUUUUUGGCAAUUUCCUUUCCAACAAGCAACAAUUCUUCGGGACAACCUUCACCAUGGAAUACUUUCUCUACUAAUAAGUUCCAGCUUUCAUCAUCAGAAAAUAAGCGUAGAGAAUGAGGAUCACUAUCUGGUUCAAUUUGCAAGGCCACAUCACGAAGGCGGCUGGUAAUCAAAAUUCUGCUUCCAUUGGCAUCAUCUGGGAAUGCAUUUCUUAACUCAUUCCAAACUCCAGCAUCCCACACGUCAUCCAUAACAAUGAGAAACCUGUUUCUCAGUAAGCACUGACGCAAUUUUAAUUGGAGAUCUUCGUUAGUCAUUUGACGAAUUUCAUCCGUAAGCCCGAGAAUGCCACGUAAAAUCUCCAGCAGCAGGUCUCUUUUGUCAUAUCCUUGUGAAACAGUACACCAUGCACGACAAUGAAAGUGAGACAAAACCUUUUGGCAGUUAAACAGUUUCCAAGCCAUUGUUGUCUUGCCAAUACCGGGCAUUCCCACAAGAGAAACAAUACCAAACUUUGAGGAUCCCUUGACAAGUUGAUCAGUUAUAGAUUGUUCUUCAUCUCUGGGAUCCACCACCAUUCCAUUGAUUGCUGGUGUAGCAUCCCGUGAUAUCACGUUGGGUGGAACCUGGAUGACGUGUUUGUUAUCUAGGACUUUGGCUUGAGGGGUCGUCAACUGAAUUCUAGAGGCUCGCUUAUUAACAAUUCUUAACUCCUCUAGUAGAUCAUAAACCAAAAAGAAACCUUGCCAUUGAGGAUCGACCUCAAUUGAGUCAAUGACAAACUCAAUUUUGUAAGCAAUAUUGGCAACAUGACCACCAAGAACUUUCACUUCUGGAUUGUUAUCAAUAUCCGACUCUGAGACUUUCAUGAGAAAAGAACCCAAAGACUUGAAAUGUAGAUGAAUUUCUUUUAUGUAAUUCCUGACUGGUUCAAUUGACGCAGGAUCAUAGUUCAGCAGUUCCUCCAGGCUUCCGAUGAGAAAUUCAACGAACCCUGGCUUGUCAGUCUUUGGAAAAUCAGACAAUGGAAAUGGGGGACUAACCACUCUGAGCGUAGACUUGAUAGGAUUCAGCUUAUCUUGCAGUCUAGAAGAUGAGAUGAUCAUAUUGUGGAUGGGUCCUGCCAUCCCUGCAUCAGAAGUUUCAGUUUGUGGGAAGAUCGUGUCCAUGUCCUUUGUCUCCUCCUUUAGCUGGUUGCAGAGAAGUGUGAAAAGAUUAAGGAGCACAAGAAGUGCAAUUUGAUCUUUUCGAUAAGCCUCGGAAUUUGCAGCACUACUCCUCUCCAGUUGUAACUUCUCAAAUAAUGCUUCUGCUUUGAAAACAACAAUGUUAAGAAGCAAUAGGAGAAUUGAGUUUCUCACCGUGGAUUCUGUGAUCUUCUUGGCCUCAAACAACUGAUGGAGAGAUGCUACCUUGUAGUCCACUUGUUUAAUGAGAGCCAAUGCCUUAUUCCCAUAUUCUGCCUCCCAAUGCGUAAGAUUUUCCAGAAAACGUAUCAAUUUUUUAGGCAUCCAUUGGACAUCACCUUUAACAUGAUUGAGCAGAUCUUUAGUUCGGAAAGUGCUCCCUUGAUUGUUACAGAAAAGCAUUCCCUUGAGGAAAAGCUCCGUCUGAAGAAGAAAAACAUUUAUACGUAGCUCAGAAUGGCCAUGGAUAUGUUGCUCGCCCUUUCGUUCCGUCUGUAAGAGGAAUUCCAGCUCUAUGAGCACCGUAUGAAUUUCUGCAAGGAAAAUUUGUAUAGUCUGAUCCUCUUCCUCCCCCUCCUCCUGUUGCUUCAGUUUGGUGAAGGCUAAAAGCUUUAACAGCCCAUAGAUCUCUCGAGAACAGAUCUCUCGAGUAUCUCUGAUCCUCACUUCAGUGGCAACAUAAUUGCUAUAAUGAGAGGAAAAAUCGGGCUUAACUCCUCCAAUUUUAUGGAGAGCCACAAGGAAAUGAAAAUGGAACUCCAUGAAUUUGGGAUUAGUAGGAUGAAUCUCAUGUUGCAAAUCCACUACAGAUUUAGUUAGCUUAAUCAUUUCUACCGUUUUGGUUUUGCCUUCGGUUUUCCCGCAGUGAAUCCGGUACUUAAGACUGUGGAUUGCAAUGCGCACCAUCACAGAUGCAACACGAGUCACGAAAUCAUUGAUAGCAUUUACAUCAUCACCACCUGCAGCAGCUGCUGCUGGGAAGUCGAGAUUCCUGGAUACACCUUCCAUGUAUUCCCCGAACAAUCUUAGCUCUUUGCGCCAGGCACCGAUUGGCUCGCUCCAUUUUGUAUCGUCCACAAUAUCGGCCAGAGUGGUUACAAAUUGUAGCCAAAAAGAAACAUCAGAUGGUGAUUGCAGUCGACACGACGACCACCCGGAUAAAUCCAAAAGGUGUUCAACAUCUUCUCCAAUCUCUUCCAUCCAUUUGAUGGAUUUACUGUAAUAAUCAUAGAGAGUUUUGCCAUUUACCGGGGAAAGCUUCAUCUGGGCGUUGUUCUUGUUUAUAAUUACAACAUGCCAACCAAUCUCCUCGGCUGCAGCUUCAAUCUUGACUCCCAUAUUAAGCAGCACGCGCUCUGCAUCUUCGUCUCUCAUCAGCUUGUGAAUUGCUUCCGAAAUUAACCUCAAAAGCUUCCAAUCUCCCAAGAUGCGAUCGCGUUGACGCCAGCGUACGCGGUGACUUUUGUUUCCACGCGCAACUGCAUCGAUAAAUUUGCUACUUCCCCGUACAGCAUCCAAGAAAAAAACUAUGAUAUCAAAGCUGGAAAUAGCCAUCUCCAGGUCCAGAAUUUUGAUCUCUUACUCAAGCAUACCAGUUCUGUCUGUCAGACUGAUCUGCAUAAACACAAAUGCUUUUGAUGUAUGUAUUAGGUGAAUAGGUGAUAUCGAGUGGAGGUGAUAUCGAGUGGAGUCGAGUGGAGUGCUCAAUUAUUGAAACAAAUAAACCUAAAAUAGUAAUUAAUUAUUGUAACAAAUAAACUUGAAAUUAUAAUUUGGAUAAUAUUAUUAUAAUAAAUUAAUAUUUAAUAUAAAACUUGAGUGGAGUGCUUGAUUGAUAAAGUUCGAACUCGAGUUGUUAGAGUUCAAAAAUUUUUGGAAAUAAUAGUAUAAUAAUUAAAUAUUUAAUUAUUAUAACAAAUAAAUUUAAAAUUAUAAAUUGAAUAAUAAUAAUAAUAUUUAAUUGAAUACUCGACAGAACUCGUCGAGCUCUUAAGUUUUUUUAAUAGCACCCGAACUUGACUCGAAAAUUCAAUUAAGUAACUUGAACUCGAUCAAUAUCGAGUUCAAUAAAGUAAUUAAACUGAACUGCUAGCGAAUUCGAGUCAAGCUGCUCAAUUAAAUCUCACCCUUAUCCCCAAUGGACCAGGGCCUCACAAUUUGAGGCAAUAUCCACUUCGGACACAUCCGGUCAAGAUCAAAUUGUGAUAAUGAGACAGCCACGAUUUAGUGGGUCGACAGCGCAGUAUCAAUUCGCAUGGGGAAAGAAAAAUCAAAAUUGAGGACUAAUGAAAAGACUAGAACUCAUUGUCCUCUCAUCAGAGAUAGAGGAGAAGAAUCAACGAUGAAGACUACUCAUUUCUGAGAAAUUUCUAACGAAAUCCAACAUAGGGAGAUAAAGUCUCAGACUCUUCAACUUUUUGGGAAGUGAAAUUUUGCAGCCCUACAAGUUCGAGAUUUAUUGAGGCUUUGCUUGUUGGUUCAUAAUUUAACAAAAAAAAAAACAAAAAGUUCUCAUAUCAUCAAAGUAUCAAGUAUGUUCUUGGGUUUUCAGAAUAUUCAUGGAUAUUGGAAAUUUUUUUCUUCGUUUAUUGUAAUUACAAGGGGACACAAAAGGCAUUUGGUUUUUUCCAUUCUUGUGAAGAAAUUCUCGAUAUUUAAUGACUGCUAUAAGAAGAAAAUUAGCAAAAAUGCUAACUCUCUAAUUAUCCAAAUCGAAUGGUAGAUUAGGGCUAUUAUAAUUUCUUGAUUGGCAUUGUUUGAGUUGGUCUUGUUAAAGAAGAAUUUAGAAAUCGUCAUGCCAGUGGUAUGUAUAAGAGUACGUAAAAACACCCUAAAGAAACUUGCCCCUUUUGAUUAUUUACACCAGUAGUCACAACUUUAAGUGCUGGCCAAUCUUGUUACUCUACAACCAUUUGUUGGACAAUGGACAUUGGUUAAUAAAUGGGCCUAAUGCAUAUGCAAACAAACUUAUUAAAGAAGACACACUUGCAAGCUAGAGUUGGCUUGAUAUUAUGCAGGCAUGAUCAAGGAUUCUUAAUUAGGUUCGACAAUUUUGCAAUAAAUUGGGUAAAAUAUCAAAAAACCUCUUGUGAUUUGCCGAGUGUUUAACUUAACUCCUUAUCGUUCGGAAACUUACAUUCUAAGCUCUCAUGGUUUUAACUAAAUUGGAAGGUGGAUAGAAACUGACUAAACUAAUGGUUGCAUCUAAAAUGUCAAAAUUGUCCUUUAUAAAUAAUAAGAUUUAAUGCAAAAAACUAUUUAUGAUCUGUCGAAUGUUCAACAUAACUUUUUAUGAUUUGGAAAUCUAUAUUCUAGCCUCUCGUGGGUUUAACUAAAUUGAAUUCAUUAUAUUAGCCUUCUUCUACUUCAUUCAAACAUUCUUGCUACAGCCAUUUCCCUUACUGGAAGAAUGUAGUUACUAAAGGAAUCAUUAAAAUUGUUUAUCGCGAGAAGCAAGGCUGUAGUUUCCGAAGCACAGAGAGUUAAGAAUACAUAUUAAAGAACUUAUUGAAAUUGUUUAUUACAGGGAGUUAGAAUGUAAGUUCUGAAGUUGUUAAAGCACUCAUUGAGAUUGAUUACUACGAAAGGCUAGAAUAUAGGUUUAUGAAGCAUAGAGAGCUAAGAAUAUAGAUACCAUGUUCAUCAACUAAGGCAUUGCCAAAAAAAAAAAAAAAUCAUGCAAGGUGCCCUUCCAUUGAUAUGCAGGUAUGACAAGUAAUUUUAGGUUAAGAAUUUUGUUUGUUUAGCUGUCUAUGUUUCAAUUGUAUUGUUGAGUACUUCUCUCACAUUCGUAAUUUGAGCAUUUGCACUCCUUUUAGGUGUGUAAAUAUCAUUUUUUAGUUGGCUUGAAAAGGUCUGAAUGUUUGUCACUCUCUGUUGUUCAUUAAUAUACAUUGAUAGUUCGUUGAACUCAAACUCAAGUUUAAAUUUGAUAAAAUUAGAUCGAAUCUCAGCUCGAUUCGAUUAAAAUUCAACUCGACUCGGUUGUAACUCUACCUAGGAGAGUUGUCCUUUAGAUUUAGUGACACUUUGUGUUUCUUGCUUUUAGGAAUGGCUAGGACAGCUUUUGGUAUUUCUCCAUGAUGCCCAAUUGGUAGAUUGCUUGUCAUACAUGAGGAAUCCAAUCUGCUGCCAGCAAUGCUCUCCAGAUAGCUCAAUUCAGCAGAACCCAUCUAGGAUUCGUUGUGGUUAAUUUUAGAUUGCACAAAUUUUGUUACCUCUAACAAUACAAGCCGAUAUGCUUCAAAAAAAAGUCUGAUAAGAAGACCUUUUUUUGGUGUAGUGAAACACUAUUUGCCAUGAUCCUCGUACAUGUAAGCUAGCCGCUCAAAUAUGAAUAUUAUGCUGAGUACUUCAAAAUUGGAACACUUGCUUCAGCGAAUUAGGUGCUAACUUUUGAGUCAAUGGCUGUCAACAUUUGAAGAUAGAGGGAUUGAAUGCAGUACUUCAAGAAACAAAGAAAUGAAUCUGCAUGAUUAGAAUUUCUGUUUGCUUUAAGAGGUAAGAAUUACAGUAGGUAUAAUCUAGAGGACCAACAAAACCAACUUAAACAAACUGAAUUCACCUUUCCAAAGAUCUCAAGCAAUAAUUGAUUGUUGAGUAUCCAGAUUGAGCAAAACAUUCCAUUGCAUGGAAGUUGAAUUAAGAAACACAUCAUCUUACAAAUGAAUCGAGAGAAGAAUAAGUUACUGAAAUUUGAUUAUCUUACAAGUUCGGGGAGUAAUACAACAGAAUCCACAAUCAUACUCUUAUCAUCUCAAAUAUGAACUACUAAUAAGCACUUUGAUGUCCCCAGUUGCUUCCCUGAUUCUUUUUGCAGACUCUUCCGCAGAUUGUCUGCACCAGUGCACUUCAAUCAAUUCCAGUGUGCCUAUGUCUGCAAAAUCAUACGGGAUUUCCUUGAGGUCUUUGCAAUUUUGCAAGACAAGCCGUUCAAGUUUGGGAAGGUGAUCACAAGUAGCAUUCCAUUGAGAAACGUUCAGAUUGUCUAACUUCAAGAAUUUGAGUUCCUUGAACUGAUCUUCCUCCAUGUCCCAUGUCAGCCCCUCAAAGGCAUCAAGAAGUAAUUUGAGAACUUCCAGGUUGGGUAGUCUCCCAAUUGUUGAGAUAUGACUCCAUGGUAGACGAAACUUUGAAAGAGUCAAUUUCCUCAGAUUGGAAGGGAGAAUGAAUUCCCUGGUAAUAGCGCUUCCAUAGUAAGAUACAUUGAGUGACACCAAAUGAGUUAGAAAAUCUAAUCCUGGAAACUGAUAGGAAUUCUUCGAAGAACCCUGUGGAUGAAAGAAUAUGCAUCUCAGUUUCUGGAGAUUUGGCAACCUCUUUAUUAUU
rnacentral:lncRNA from 1 species